rnacentral:lncRNA from 1 species
CGGAGCCAUGCUGGGAGGGGGCGGAGCCAGACUGCAGGAGCGGAACUGCUCGGUCCUCCCUUGUUUUCCUGUCAUACCCGUACAGCACUAAUAUUCAAUAGCCGAAUGUAUCGCUGUAGAUUAUUUAGAAGACAGCAAGUUCUUGAGCACAGUCUGAUAUUUGUGGUUAGUAUGAGCCAGAGAACAGCGCCGACGAGUUACGGUAUGGAGGAGGACGGGGCUGCCCGUAAGGAACCAGCACCCACAGCAGAGAGAACCAGAGCUGAUAUUGGGCAGAGCCACAGGCCGGCAUUGCUGCAAGACAGACCAGAAAAAAAACAGCCAGGACAGAAUGGUCAAAUGAGCACCGAUUGUGGAUUCUACUGCUGACGGGAGAGCGUGUGUAGUUUUGUGCUGCUUGUACACAAAGCGGCAGUCCAAACUAGCUUCAGGAUGCCAAGGACAAACAGGAAAACAACAGCUGGGGCAGAACGGUGGAAUGAGCACUGAGUAAGUAUUAUUUGACUAUUGUUUAAACUAUUGUUUUGCUUGUUUGUGCUGUGAAGUUUGAGUACAGUUAUGAGUAGCUGCUUGUCUUUUUGGACUGUGAAGAUUAGCGGCCGCUCACGGCCAUUUAAUAUUAGUCCUGUACGGGUAUGCAAGGAAAACAAUGGCGGACUGAGCAGUUUCUUUUCCAUCGCCGCCCCACCAAGCUAAGUCAGGAAGCACCAACAGUUUUAAUCAGUAAGUCCACAUGUGAAACCGAUCACAUCACUGCUGUGGUCCAGGUGAAAACAGAUGAGCAGAAACCAAUUACUCUACAUUCUGCUUUUCCUGCUGUGCUGUCUGGCUCUUUGAAGGAAUUAACCUCGUUCGCUAACAUCUGCUUCACCUCCGUGUCACAUGUCUGAGCCGCUGCAGGUGCGUGUUUGCCAACGCGCACGGUUCCAGGUUCAGGUGCUACUCUGUUGUCACGGCAACAAACAAUGAGAGUUUCCAGACGAACCACGGGCGAUGCUCGUCGGCGGAGACGGACGCUCCCUCUCCCUCCCUCCCUUCCUCCCUCCGCUCCUGCACACUUUGCCGUGCAGUGGAUUAUAUUAGCCACCUGUUGCCGCCUGGCAUUUUGACAGCGCCUCCCAGUGAAGCAGCUCCUCAUACAAAGGCACGCGGCCCUGUCACCUGGUCGGCCGAGGAGAAAUGAAAACCAGGCAGAUUAUGUCAGAGGAUCAAUCACCCGGACUGCCGCUGUGUUUGCUCGGCGCCUCGUUUAAAAGGCUCCGGGCUGCUUUAUCCCGUUAGCUCGCGCCAAAUCGGAGAGUAACGGAUCAGACGACAGAUGCCGCGCACCGUUAAUUGUGGCCGGUGUAUUAAUGGUGACACCGGGCUGUGAUCAUCAUCAUCAUCAUCCUGGCACAGGGAAAAUAAAAACAUCCAUAGGCAGACGCGAUGAUGGCGC